rnacentral:rRNA from 1 species
CCUACGGGGCGCAGCAGUGGGGAAUAUUGCACAAUGGGGGAAACCCUGAUGCAGCAACGCCGCGUGAGUGAAGAAGUCAUUCGUGAUGUAAAGCUCUAUCAGCAGGGAAGAAAAUGACGGUACCUGAGUAAGAAGCCCCGGCUAACUACGUGCCAGCAGCCGCGGUAAUACGAAGGGUGCGAGCGUUGUUCGGAAUUACUGGGUGUAAAGGGAGCGUAGACGGCAGCGCAAGUCUGUAGUGAAAUGCCGGAGCUCAACCCCGGAACUGCUUUGGAAACUGUGCAGCUAGAGUGCGG